AUAUGGGGGGCCCAUCCUCCAAGGCUAAAUACUCCUGACUGACCGAUAGUGAACCAGUACCGUGAGGGAAAGGCGAAAAGAACCCCGGCGAGGGGAGUGAAAAAGAACCUGAAACCGUGUACGUACAAGCAGUGGGAGCACGCUUAGGCGUGUGACUGCGUACCUUUUGUAUAAUGGGUCAGCGACUUAUAUUCUGUAGCAAGGUUAACCGAAUAGGGGAGCCGAAGGGAAACCGAGUCUUAACUGGGCGUUAAGUUGCAGGGUAUAGACCCGAAACCCGGUGAUCUAGCCAUGGGCAGGUUGAAGGUUGGGUAACACUAACUGGAGGACCGAACCGACUAAUGUUGAAAAAUUAGCGGAUGACUUGUGGCUGGGGGUGAAAGGCCAAUCAAACCGGGAGAUAGCUGGUUCUCCCCGAAAGCUAUUUAGGUAGCGCCUCGUGAAUUCAUCUCCGGGGGUAGAGCACUGUUUCGGCA
rnacentral:rRNA from 1 species